rnacentral:rRNA from 1 species
UACAGAGGGUGCGAGCGUUAAUCGGAAUUACUGGGCGUAAAGGGCGCGUAGGUGGUUUUGUAUGAAUGAUGUGAAAGCCCCGGGCUUAACCUGGGAAGUGCAUCGUUAACUGCAAGACUUGAGUAGGUGAGAGGGUAGCGGAAUUUCCGGUGUAGCGGUGAAAUGCGUAGAGAUCGGAAGGAACGUCAAUGGCGAAGGCAGCUACCUGGCACCAUACUGACACUGAGGCGCGAAAGCGUGGGGAGCGAACAGG